rnacentral:rRNA from 1 species
CAAUAGCGUAUAUUAAAGUUGUUGCAGUUAAGAAGCUCGUAGUUGGAUUUCUGGUAGGAGCGACCGUGCCGAACUUGAUUGUUCGAGUAUUGUGUUGUCUUCAGCCAUCCUCGUGGAGAACUUUUCUAACAUUAACUUGUUGGGAUUGGGACCCGCGUCGUUUACUGUGAAAAAAUUAGAGUGUUUAAAGCAGGCAUUAGCUUGAAUACAUUAGCAUGGAAUAAUAAGAUAGGACUUUGGUACUAUUUUGUUGGUUUGCAUACCAAAUUAAUGAUCAACAGGAACAGUUUGAGGAUAUUCGUAUGAACAUGUCAGAGGUGAAAUUCUUGGAUUUUGAUCAGACGAACUACUGCGAAAGCAUUUAUCAAGGAUGUUUUCAUUAA